AUGGCCCGCCGGGCCCGGCUGGUCGGGCAGUGAGAGGCAGAGCCCGGCUGUGUUUACCCAGGCCGGGCAUUUCCGGAGCAGAUGGGCGCCUGUCAGCGCUGCCAGCCAGGGGCUGGGCUGACGUCUCUCACUGCCAAGUGGCAGGGUUUUGGAAGCCUUUGGGACUGAGGGAAGACUUUGGACUCCCACUCAGGAUAAAGUCUUCACCUGGAUCCAGGGAGGGGCCCCGAUCUGGAACGAAGGCUUGUCUCCCUUCCAGUACCCCUGGGAAUCACUUGGGAGCAGGGAGAAGGGGAAAAUCUUCUCCUCUUACGUGUCAGGAGGAUGAGGGACCUGAUUGAACAAACCGGGUGUCCCUGUCACCGGAUCCAGCAGCUGGCAAAGAGUCUGGAAGGGAAGAAAGGCGAGAGGGAGCUCAGCCCCACCCCACUUGAGGAGGCAACGUUGUGAAGGAGGGAAAGUGAUGGUGUCCCACCCUGGAGGUAUUUUCGUCUUAAAGGAGGACUCACAACAACCCCAAGGAUGGAAUGCAGGGCCGCAGGGCCAGUGAAGUUGUGCAAAGUAGGGAUUCAGGAGCAGAAGGUUCUUCUAGGGCCUUUGCCCCAGCCCACAUCAGAUUAACCCUCCUGCAUCACUCCUGGGUCUCAGCAGAUAUCAUCAAGAUGCAGGUUCCCUGGGGGCUUGCCUUGGGGAAGUGCCCUUGGUGCCACCAUCACCUAUAUAUGGGUGGCCCUUCUGGGGAUGAGCCCAGCUGCUCUUUGGAACAUCUCUGCCUGCCAGACUGCCCCAGGAAGGAUGAAAGGGGGUCAAAGGUGUCAAAUUCCUCCAGCAGUCUGAGAUAAGAGCCCCUACCAAAUUGAGGGGGCGGCAGCCUUGGCUACCUGCCAGCUGGUGACAAGUCUGGGCCUGAGAAAGGGAGCCUGGUCUGCCCUUGGGAAACUCAGUGAGAGGUGCAGCCCGAUACCCCCUGGUCCCCCAGUUCCUUUCACUUGCUGGUGGUGGGAAGUGACUUUUGGAGGGACAGGGACACGUAGAACAGCAGCAGAUCCUCAGUCAACCAUGUGAUGCCCAACAGCCACCAGUGACUUCUUAGGAGACAAAUUGCAUGGCCUCUUCUUGGGCCUCUCCUCCUCCUCUGUAGAAGUCAGCAGGGCAGCUAGUCCUUCUUCCAUUCCUCUACCAGCCCCCACGCCCAGCACUCC